rnacentral:rRNA from 1 species
UACGAAGGGUGCAAGCGUUGUUCGGAAUUACUGGGCGUAAAGCGUGCGUAGGCGGUUCGUUAAGUCUGUUGUGAAAGCCCCGGGCUCAACCUGGGAAUGGCAAUGGAUACUGGCGAGCUAGAGUGUGUCAGAGGAUGGUGGAAUUCCCGGUGUAGCGGUGAAAUGCGUAGAGAUCGGGAGGAACAUCAGUGGCGAAGGCGGCCAUCUGGGGACAACACUGACGCUGAGGCACGAAAGCGUGGGGAGCAA